GUGGGGAAUCUUAGACAAUGGGGGCAACCCUGAUCUAGCCAUGCCGCGUGAGUGAUGAAGGCCUUAGGGUUGUAAAGCUCUUUCAGCUGUGAAGAUAAUGACGGUAGCAGCAGAAGAAGUCCCGGCUAACUCCGUGCCAGCAGCCGCGGUAAUACGGAGGGGACUAGCGUUGUUCGGAAUUACUGGGCGUAAAGCGCACGUAGGCGGAUCGGAAAGUUGGGGGUGAAAUCCCGGGGCUCAACCCCGGAACUGCCUUCAAAACUAUCGGUCUGGAGUUCGAGAGAGGUGAGUGGAAUUCCGAGUGUAGAGGUGAAAUUCGUAGAUAUUCGGAGGAACACCAGUGGCGAAGGCGGCUCACUGGCUCGAUACUGACGCUGAGGUGCGAAAGCGUGGGGAGCAAACAGGAUUAGAAACCCUAGUAGUCC
rnacentral:rRNA from 1 species